rnacentral:rRNA from 1 species
ACGUAGGAGGCGAGCGUUAUCCGGAUUUACUGGGCGUAAAGCGCGUGCAGGCGGUUUAGAAAGUUGGAUGUGAAAGCUUCUGGCUUAACUGGGAGAGGUCGUUCAAUACUUCUAGACUAGAGUAUGGGAGAGGGAGGUGGAAUUCCGGGUGUAGUGGUGAAAUGCGUAGAUAUCCGGAGGAACACCAGUGGCGAAAGCGGCCUCCUGGCCCAUUACUGACGCUCAGACGCGAAAGCUAGGGUAGCAAACGG